rnacentral:rRNA from 1 species
CCUACGGGUGGCUGCAGUGGGGGAUAUUGGACAAUGGGCGCAAGCCUGACCCAGCAACGCCGCGUGAAGGAAGAAGUCUUUCGGUUUGUAAACUUCUUUCAGCAGGGAAGAAGAGAAGACGGUACCUCUUGAAUAAGCCACGGCUAACUACGUGCCAGCAGCCGCGGUAAUACGUAGGGGGCAAGCGUUCUCCGGAUUUACUGGGUGUAAAGGGCGUGCAGGCGGGAAGACAAGUCAGAUGUGAAAGCCCGCGGCCCAACCGCGGAACUGCAUUGGAAACUGCUGUGCUGGAGUACCGGAGAGGUAAGCGGAAUUCCUAGUGUAGCGGUGAAAUGCGUAGAUAUAAGGAAGAACACCAGUGGCGAAGGCGGAUGACUGGACGGCAACUGACGGUGAGGCGCGAAAGCGUGGGGAGCAAACAGGAUUAGAUACCCGGGUAGUC